UGGCGGCGUGCUUAGACAUGCAAGUCGUACGAGAAAGUCUCUUCGGAGAUGAGUAAAGUGGCGCACGGGUGAGUAACGCGUGGGUAAUCUGCCCUUAGGUUUGGGAUAACCCCGGGAAACCGGAGCUAAUACCGAAUGAGACCACGAUGACUUCGGUCGAUGUGGGAAAAGGUGGCCUCUUCUUGAAAGCUAUCGCCAAAGGAUGAGCCCGCGUUUGAUUAGCUAGUUGGUAAGGUAACGGCUUACCAAGGCGACGAUGGGUAGGGGUCCUGAGAGGGAGAUCCCCCACACUGGUACUGAGACACGGACCAGACUCCUACGGGAGGCAGCAGUGAGGAAUAUUGGUCAAUGGGCGCAAGCCUGAACCAGCCAUGCCGCGUGCAGGAUGACGGUCCUAUGGAUUGUAAACUGCUUUUAUACAGGAAGAAACACUCCCUCGUGAGGGAGCUUGACGGUACUGUAGGAAUAAGGAUCGGCUAACUCCGUGCCAGCAGCCGCGGUAAUACGGAGGAUCCAAGCGUUAUCCGGAAUCAUUGGGUUUAAAGGGUCCGUAGGCGGUCUAAUAAGUCAGUGGUGAAAUCCUUCCGUUAACGGGAGAACGGCAUUGAUACUGUUAGACUUGAAUUAUUAGGGAAGUAACUAGAAUAUGUAGUGUAGCGGGUGAA
rnacentral:rRNA from 1 species